rnacentral:rRNA from 1 species
CAAUAGCGUAUAUUAAAGUUGUUGCAGUUAGAACGCUCGUAGUCGGAUUUCGGGGCGGGCCGGCCGGUCUGCCGAUGGGUAUGCACUGGUCGGCGCGUCCUUCCUUCCGGAGACCGUCCCUACUCUUAACUGAGCGGGGGCGGGAGACGGGACUUUUACUUUGAAAAAAUCAGAGUGUUUCAAGCAGGCAGCUCGCUCUUGCAUGGAUUAGCAUGGGAUAAUGAAAUAGGACUUUGGUGCUAUUUUGUUGGUUUCGAACACCGAAGUAAUGAUGAGAAGGGACAGUCAGGGGCACUCGUAUUCCGCCGAGAGAGGUGAAAUUCUCAGACCAGCGGAAGACGAACCACUGCGAAAGCAUUUGCCAGGGAUGUUUNCACUG